rnacentral:lncRNA from 13 species
UUUUUUUUCUCUCAGUGAGAUGGAGGCGGGGCCUUACAUGGUGUCAGAGCCACCAAUCAGAUCAGCCGACAGCGGACCUCAGGUGAGACACACUAGUUGUCUUAGAGGCUACAUAGGGCUCUUAUGACCUGUCGUAGCCUCUGUAGAUUCUAAGACACACUAUUCCCAUUUUUAAAAAAACUAUCUUAUUUGCAUUUCCUAAAAUGUUCCUGUGUAUUUCCUUGAGCUUUCUCUCUGAUUGGUUUCCCAGGGAUACCACAUGCCUAUGAUUGGUCACCCUCCACCCAUAAGGCCCUCCCACCCAUCAGGUCCACCUCCACAGCCCUCCCAUUCCCACAGAGGAGGACCCAGACCACCUUGGGACAGGUACGACGCUGAUCACACGGGACUAUAGAAUAUAGAGGUCAUAACAGGGUUACUGUAGAAUACAGGACUAUAGAAUAUAGUGGUCAUAACAGGGUUACUGUAGAAUACAGGACUAUAGAAUAUAGAGGUCAUAACAGGGUUACUGUAGAAUACAGGACUAUAGAAUAUAGAGGUCAUAACAGGGUUACUGUAGAAUACAGGACUAUAGAAUAUAGAGGUCAUAACAGGCUACUGUAGAAUAUAGAGGUCAUAACAGGACUAUAGAAUAUAGAGGUCAUAACAGGGUUACUGUAGAAUACAGGACUAUAGAAUAUAGAGGUCAUAACAGGGUUACUGUAGAAUACAGGACUAUAGAAUAUAGAGGUCAUAACAGGGUUACUGUAGAAUACAGGACUAUAGAAUAUAGAGGUCAUAACAGGGUUACUGUAGAAUACAGGACUAUAGAAUAUAGAGGUCAUAACAGAGUUACUGUAGAAUACAGGACUAUAGAAUAUAGAGGUCAUAACANNNNNNNNNNGGGGUACGCCCCCCUGGUCGCCCCCUCCAGCCUGCACCUCCCUCCCCAGCGGAGAAGAGGAGGAGAGUGGAAGAGAGGGAAAGGGGGAGGGGGAUGGACAGGGGGAUGGGGGGGCCCCCAGCUAAGCUCCGCCGAGCCGAGGGUCCGUACCUCCAGAGAGGACUUCCUGCCAAGCCUUCCCUCCUCCUGAACCUGGCAUGCAGAGAGUCGGGUAGAGGAGAGGGUCUGCUCCCCAUCCCUGGUUCCUCACAGACAGGGAGGCUAGACCGUUUCCAUCCCAUCUCCAUCUCCAUCCCUGGUUCCUCCAUGGACCUGGGGAGAGAGGGGAGAGGCGACGGGCUGCUGCCCAUCCCAGGGAGCUCUGAGGCGGGCAGAAGAGAGAGUGACAGGGGGUCUAUCUGGCCUCUCAUGGGUCUGCAGGUCAAACCCUUCCCCCAGAGGAGAAUCAAACUGAACAGAGACCUGGGGAGGAACAGCAGUAUGGCCCGCCCAGAGGAGAGACCAGCUCCAGCUGCUAAUAUCACCACUACUAUCACCUCUACUGGAGAGAGACCUGCUGGUCCUGAGAGAGGAGGAGCAGAGAGGGAUGGAGGGACGGAGAGGGUGGCGGUGAUGGUGGAGCGGAGGUUGUCUGGCGAGAGGUCAGAGGUCAGGUCUGUUAGGUCCGAGAGGCCGUCGUCAGGGGAACGUUUGCCGGAGAGAGGAGGAGGAGGAGGAGGAGGAAGGUCAGUCUCUCUAGACCGCAUGACCAUCGCGGAACGCUCGGCCAUCGCUAAGAAACCUGAUGUCACCGGGGAGAGAACAGAGAGCGGGUACACGCCGCCCGCUGAGAGAGAGAGACCAGCUGAGAGCUCCAAGGAGAGAGAGAGACCAGCUGAGAGCUCCAAGGAGAGAGAGAGACCAGCUGAGAGCUCCAAGGAGAGAGAGAGACCAGCUGAGAGCUCCAAGGAGAGAGGGAGACCAGCGUCAGCCAAGACGGACAGGUCAUCAUCCAGGGAGAAGUCAGCCACCAGGGAACAGAAAGGAGAGAAGACCUCGUCCUCCGUAGACAGACCUGCCUCUACAGGGGAGCAAGCGGCAGGGUCCCAGAGAGAGACUGUAGCUGAAGACAGAGCAAUAGCAACAGCAGUGGUGGUGGUGAAGGAGGGUUCUGGGAAGACCAGAAAGAUCAGCAGAAAGAGUUCUGAGCCCACGACCCACCACUCAUCAGACCACUCUGUCACUUCAACUGGGUGAGUUGCCCUUUCGACCUCUGACCUUCCAACGGUUCUUUAUUAGCCCGUGUUGUUAAUCAACAAUCAUUGUGGUUUAACACUAUCUAGAGCUUUCUCCUUUAGUUAUUAACACUAUCAGCGUUCUAGAGUUUCUCCUUUAGUUAACACUUAUCAGCUUUCUAGAACUUUCUCCUUUAGUUAACACUAUCAGCGUUCUAGAGCUUUCUCUAGUUAACACUAUCAGCGUUCUAGAGCUUUCUCCUUUAGUUAACACUAUCAGCGUUCUAGAGCUUUCUCCUUUAGUUAACACUAUCAGCGUUCUAGAGCUUUCUCCUUUAGUUAACACUAUCAGUGUUCUAGAGCUUUCUCCUUUAGUUAACACUUAUCAGCGUUCUAGAACUUUCUCCUUUAGUUAACACUAUCAGCGUUCUAGAGCUUUCUCCUUUAGUUAACACUAUCAGCGUUUCCCUCUACUGUGAGAAUUGUGAUCGAAUAUUCUGCACAGACCGGUGCAACAACCAAUCAGAGCUGCAGUAGGCCUAUAUGCAAAUAGCCAUUGCCAUAUAUGGAUCUGUGCCAUUCACUGAACAAAUAACCACAGUAGCCUACUUGGCCACUGUCAAAACUGGAACUUAAAGCAGGUAGAGCCUUCAC